CGUAGGGUGCGAGCGUUGUCCGGAAUUACUGGGCGUAAAGAGCUCGUAGGCGGUUUGUCACGUCGGCUGUGAAAACCCAUCGCUCAACGGUGGGCUUGCAGUCGAUACGGGCUGACUUGAGUACUGCAGGGGAGACUGGAAUUCCUGGUGUAGCGGUGAAAUGCGCAGAUAUCAGGAGGAACACCGGUGGCGAAGGCGGGUCUCUGGGCAGUAACUGACGCUGAGGAGCGAAAGCGUGGGUAGCGAACAGGAUU
rnacentral:rRNA from 1 species